GACGAACGCUGGCGGUGUGCUUAACACAUGCAAGUCGAACGGUAAGGCCCUUUCGGGGGUACACGAGUGGCGAACGGGUGAGUAACCCGUGAGUAACCUGCCCUCAUCUCUGGGAUAACAGUCGGAAACGGUUGCUAAUACUGGAUAUGAGCUUGCAAGGCAUCUUGUGGGUUGGAAAGAUUUUUUUUGGUUGGGGAUGGACUCGCGGCCUAUCAGCUUGUUGGUGAGGUAGUGGCUCACCAAGGCUUCGACGGGUAGCCGGCCUGAGAGGGCGACCGGCCACAUUGGGACUGAGAUACGGCCCAAACUCCUACGGGAGGCAGCAGUGGGGAAUAUUGCACAAUGGACGGAAGUCUGAUGCAGCAACGCCGCGUGCGGGAUGACGGCCUUCGGGUUGUAAACCGCUUUCAAUUGUGACGAAGCUUUUUUGUGACGGUAGCAGUAGAAGAAGCACCGGCUAACUACGU
rnacentral:rRNA from 1 species